GACGAACGCUGGCGGCGUGCCUAAUACAUGCAAGUGGGACGCAAGGAAACACACUGUGCUUGCACACCGUGUUUUCUUGAGUCGCGAACGGGUGAGUAACGCGUAGGUAACCUGCCUAUUAGCGGGGGAUAACUAUUGGAAACGAUAGCUAAUACCGCAUAAUAUUAAUUAUUGCAUGAUAAUUGAUUGAAAGAUGCAAGCGCAUCACUAGUAGAUGGACCUGCGUUGUAUUAGCUAGUUGGUAAGGUAAGAGCUUACCAAGGCGACGAUACAUAGCUGACCUGAGAGGGUGAUCGGCCACACUGGGACUGAGACACGGCCCAGACUCCUACGGGAGGCAGCAGUAGGGAAUCUUCGGCAAUGGACGAAAGUCUGACCGAGCAACGCCGCGUGAGUGAAGAAGGUUUUCGGAUCGUAAAGCUCUGUUGUAAGUCAAGAACGUGUGUGAGAGUGGAAAGUUCACACAGUGACGGUAGCUUACCAGAAAGGGACGGCUAACUACGUG
rnacentral:rRNA from 1 species